rnacentral:lncRNA from 12 species
UCUGCAUAUGUCCAACUCCUGUCUUAGAAGACCCACCUCAAAUCUCCCUCAGUGGAGAGUUCCUCCCUGAUCCAUCCCCCUUACUUCUAAGUAAUUUCUUUUCUCCUUAACCCCUUAUUAUCCAUUAUCUGGGUCUCUCUUAGGUGCACAUCACUUUCUGUUUUUUAUUAGAAUUACUUAGUGUCUGUUUUCUCUCUCCUUUAGACUGUGAAGUUGUGAGAUUGGCAUAAUUGAUUGAUUUGCCCUCAUAUUCUUCCUCUCAGGGACUGGGAUACCUUGAGCUUGUGGCUCACAGUUACUUGCUGAAUACCCAUUUUGUGAGCAUCUUGAAGGGAGGGAGGAAGGCCUCAUCAUUAUUGUGCAUUUCCCAUAAUGGACAGUGCAGGGCUGGGCUUACUGCAGACCUUGGUAUUGAGUCUAUAAAACUGGCAGGAAUUUCAUUUUACUUUGUAGCUAUAAUAUGUAUUCUUAUAUUUUUAGAUACUUUUUGCAAGGCAUGAGGGGAGACCCUAUGGAAAACCACAGAAGGACAAUUUAUUCACCCAGCAUGGAGGAACUUCCUCAUCUUUUCCUGGUGUCGCUCCUCUAUCUGAAGAAGUUCAGCUUCUAGUUUUCGCUGAUGAACCAUUAAGGACUGGACCUGUCGUUUGAGGACCUGCAUUCUAGCUGUUGUGACAACUGACCGAACGUCUGGCACCACACUCUCACUAAGGAUUUCACUGAUGAGGCGGUGGUUUCUCUGGAAAUGGGCAGUGGCUGUAGGCUUCAUUGAAAAGUCAUCACCAUAAUCAUCUGGAUCUUCAGCAGGCUGAAUGCUCAGGUAAGGUUCUCCUUUCUCCAUGCGAGACUGACUCUGUCGACUUUCUUCCUCCAAAGCAGCUUCUGCACGACUUUUCGCAUUUAUGUAAGCAAGGUAUGCGGGGGAAUUAUGCUAGGCCUUCAUAGAUUCAUUGUACUCUAUCUUUUCUGCUUCGUAUUUGUUUAAAUAUUCUUGUUUUUCUUCAUCAGUGAGAUCUUGCCACAUGCCACCAAUAAUCUUGCCAAUCUCCCACAGCUUUAGGUCAGGGUUGGAAGCUUUUACUUGGUCCCAGACCUUUCUGCUGUACCUCAUGUAGGGAAUCAGCGGCUUAUCUGGUGGCUUUGAGGGUUUUGGAAUCAUAAUACCAGAGGAUGCUGUGACCCGGCUGUUGGUGCCCGGGUUCCCUCCCAGCCUGUAGUUGUUGUAAGCGAGAUGACUGUAUGGAUUGUAUCCCACAAACCCUGGUGUGCUGGGCAUUUGUGUUGCAGGAGCUGGGUGCGAGGUGGGGCAUAAGAUGGUCUUUUUGACAUUUUGGAAGAUUAAGUUCUCAGUUCCUUAAGAAUGAAUCUGAGACACUGCAGGCAGAAAAAGCACCUGCAGCUCUGGCCUCGUUUCUCUUUGUCCCCUCAACAUACUGUUUUUGAAAUUGA